ACAAUAACCAGAACAGUUUGUUUGUCCCAUGUCAGGCCUGGGCAUGGUGAUAUUAAUAUUAACUAUUUAUUUAUUUUUGUUUACUUCUGUCGAUGAAAGAAAAUCUGUUCAAUGUCAACUCCAGCAGGUCCUGCAGUAAAUCUGAGUGCUGACUCACCUCCUGCAGUUCCAGAGAAGAACAUACGGUGGCGCUGCGACCCACGCCGAAUCUUACAUCCGUCAUCACUUCCAGGAACAUCGGCCGCUUUUCCCAAAAUAGGAGGGUAAUCAAUUCUCCCGAGAAACAAAGUAAAGUGGCGGUUUGUGCCAGCUUCUGUGAUUGGUCAUGGUCGAGAUCUCUGACGCACUGCGUGAUUCUGCCCUGAUCUCCUCCUGAUCGCUGCAGCACGCCGGCGUCCGUCUCAUAAUUGGCUUUUAAAAUCCUGCUGUACAAAACACUUUCUCAUAACUGAUGAGAAGACAUAACAACUACAAAGAAAGAAAGUCAGAUGGGUUCGGACUAGUCACGAGAUGACAGUAUCAGAGCGGCACAUGCAUUCUCCAGGGAACUCAAAGUGUGUGCGAGUUCGCAUAAUGCACAUGUGUGUCUGCACACUCAUCUAAGUCUGGGCUCAAAGGGUCGUGAUGGAACACAGUCAGUGAAGAUCCUCGGACGCCCUCUGAGACCACAGUAUGUGAAGCUCACCAAGGGGGAGGAAGGAUCCUGCGAAGUCUGUAAUCACACCGACACACACUCCUCCCUGACUCGGGUGAAAGAAUGGAAAAGCUGUCGCUCGCAGGCCACACAGCCGUCCCACGCAAACAUGUGUAGGUACAAGAUGAAGAAGUUAAGAAAUACAUGCCAGCGGUGAUCCUGAAAAUGUGUUUCCCACGGAAAUGAACUGCAUACAGUAAGAUGCGUGGGGGCUGAAAACACACUUUUGAGACCACUGAAGUGCAGCUAACCACCUGCCUGUAGCAAAACGAAGAAAAGCCCCCUCGGCCCGAGAGAAUAAGCGAGAGGGGUGGAAUGAGAGAGCGAGCGAGUCAUGAGUGCAGCUUUGAACAACAAGGGGAAAUCCUCCUAUUGAGAGGCAUGCGCUGUGGAAACACUCAUCACUCAUAGAGAUUUCACAGAGCUUUUCUCAGGCUUGUUGGCUAGUCACAGACCACACAUGCUGGAGAACGCUGAAAUUAAAGCAGAGUUUUUCCUUGAGGACAUUCGUGAGAUGACAGACAGGCACACCUAGAGGAGCUCGGGGGUGAAGCCCCCCACGGCGAAGGAAACGGCCCGAGGAAGGGCCUCAUGCUGAAGGGAGAGGGGCCCGGCUGCUCCUUACACAAUGAAGUUCUUGGAAGAUUCUUGGAAGUAGGAAGGCAAACAGCGCAAACAUGGCUCCCAUCUCUUGUCACCUUCCUGCGAGAGAACAUAUGGCCGGAGACGCUUUAGUGUGAUGAAAGCAAACACAACAAGGACAAUCCACAUCAGACCAACAGACUGAAGUCCAAACGCUGAUUAAAAACAAGAAAAGAGACAAAAAUGUCAUGCAGUUUGUACUCGUCUUACGGGUUUGUUACAAAUGGAUGUGUUUCAGCCAAUGUGGAAGUUAUGCAUGCAAUUUGAAAGAGCAUUUGAGAGUUUCCCCAAAGCCUCCUGAGGAUGACUCCUCUGGUCAUGUAUUUACUGGGUGGAAGCACCAGUUUUCAAAGAGAGAUGGUUGUAUUGCUCAAGUAGAUAGAUUUUUAUCUCUUUUCUUGUCUUUGUCUUUUUAUGAUCCGACCUGAGGUGAUUCCCUGUGUUCUUGGAGGGUUCUGCUUCAGAUACUUUCUGGAAUCCUUGUCCGGGUGUUCUGUUCACCACUGAACAGCCCCGGGACACGAGAUUAACAUGCACUGACGUGUGUUUCUUCAACCCUUUCUAUAGAUGUUGCAACUUUCAAUCGUAACGUUUAGCGUGUGAAAUAUAAUGGUUGACGGAACCAGAUACAUUUGCAAAUGGUUUUCAUAUGAAAUCUGCACAGUUUCAGCCACAGACCCUUGAGAAAUAAAGAGAAGAGGGUCUAGAUCUUGUGUUUUUCGGAAGGGUCUCGCUUUACCCAGCUUGGUCCCUUUAGCACCUCUCCGUCUACAACUUCAGAAUGUUUCAGGGGCCAGUGGUCUAGUCUAGAUGACAGAGCAUUUGCAUGUUUAAAGGCUGAAUGCAGACUUUACAAUGCCUUGCUUUCAUUCUUUCCUGAGCAUCCAGGUUUAAUCACAAAAGAUGAAAGAGACUAAGUCAUGGAGGUCUAAAACCCGAUCUGACAGUUGUUGCAAACCUGUCAAUCAUUUGGCCUGGUCUUUUCUAUCAAAAAUACAA